AGAUAACCCUACAAAACCCCUUCAGGCCUUUGGCACCAUACACAAGAUAUUUUUACCAACAAAAAAAUCAGCUUAUAAAUUGUAUUUUGGCAGCAGAGGUACUUUACUUGUUCCGUAUCUGUCUAAAAACUGUCUUGCUACUAGCCAGGGUAAUUUUUUUCCUCUUUCCUUUUUUCUCUGCAGUGCUUCUAAGUAUAGUGACAGCGCAUCAGGCUUUCCUAGUCUCAGCGCAAGCUCAGUGAAAAUCUGGGAAAUGUAAGUGGAAACAUGAGAGAGCGCUUUAUUUGGCAGUGCUUAACAAAAAAAAAAAAAAGGGGCAGGACAAAUGGCAAAGCAGUGUUUGGACCGCAGGAUGAACAAUCAAUAGGCAGAAAGCAAGAUUGAGGCUUCCUCAGCUUUGGGAUCGACAAUCGACAGCUGAGAGACUAUUUUUUGCUAUGGUUGACUAAAUAUGGUCAGGGAAGAGAGAGGCACAAGAGAGCCUGUUUGCCUGGGAGUGCAUGUUUCAAAUGCUUAGCCGCCUAUAAAGCUGUAACAGUUUAGCCUGUGGGUCACUGAGGGAAGAAUAUAAGUUAGUCUCUGUAGUGACCAUGUGGAAGUCCUGACCUCGCUUGCAGACUUGACCUCUGGAUAUGACCAGGUGAGGUUCUGUGUUCACUGAUACAUUCCCCCUUACUUCACUGGCUCAAGAAAGAAGUGCUGAAUCAGCGAAUAGAAUGAGCGAACAAUCAAGAUGAGAUGGCUGCUGCUGAUGUGAUUCUCUAGGUCAUUACCUUCCUUCCUGCUGCAAAUGCUGCAUAACACUAAGCUUACAGGACCUAGUAGCAAGCUAUAAAAAAGAAGAAAUUCGCUCUGAAGAUAAUGAAGAAAUACUAAGCUGAUUUUACCAGUUUCUGAAAUACACUGUAAAACUCCACUGAUUCUUUGAAUCACUUGCAAAAAGAACCAAAUCUGGACAAACCUCAACAGAUAAUUGGUCAAAUGUUUACAAAUAUCUAUGUCCACCAAGAACAAGGAACCAUAAAUGGCAUUAAUGCCAUGUUUCAGGUAAACUUGUUAUAAAGUAUAGUCACUGAUUAAAAUAGUCUCUGCAAAUGAUCUACUAUUGCUCUAUAUUGGUAAGCUGAAUGUUUUACUAACAAAUGGGAAAAUAAAAUAUUUCAUGUUUUUACAGCUAAUAAUUUAUAAUACCUACUCAGAGUACAUACUUCUUUAUGUACCCAUAUGAACAUACAAUGCUAUGGAAUGUAAAGAAGUAUGUAUUUUUGGUAGGCAAUAAACCUCCAAGAGAGAAUUAAACUGCAGCUGAAAGAAGCCCUUGCUUCUUUCUACAUGAAUGACCUUCACAUGGUAAAUUAACCUA